UUUGGAAUAGGUAGAUAAUUAUAUAAAAGUUUCGAAAUAUGACACAAGUGACGUGAUCGAGGCAGCACAAUCGAUUUAGCUGCUGCGUCUACCUGUAUUUUCUAACCUCCGAUGAACGCAUGAACGGUGCGCGUGUGAAACAGCUUAGGAUAUUUCAAUUUCACGUUGAGAAAAGGAAAUGAGCGAUGCCGAACUACAGGAGGAGGAAAGAGAAGUAUUACUUUCGAUAUACGAUGGAGAUCCUGCUUUUAAACAGCUGACACCGACUACCUUUCAGUAUAAGUAUGGAGAGGACAAUGAUGCCAAAUCAUUUUUGUUGGAGAUCUCAUGGGGCAAGUCGUAUCCCACAGAGAAGCCUACCGUUAACAUGAAUACCUUUUAUAAUAAACACAUUGUACAAGAAGUAAAAGACAGAGUGGUCAAGCACGUAGAUGACGAGAUAGAGCAAUGGCUGGGAAGUGCCAUGACAUACACAUUGUUUCAGUCUGUCCAAGAACAUUAUGCUGAAUUGGUCUCUGGACAACCAGAGGCUAUAGUCGAUAUCAAUACGCAAGUUAAUCAGCUUAAAAUAACGGAGGAAGGUCAACAGUGCGAAGAAACAACAAAAAAGCCAAAGAAGGAACACUUGACUAAAGCCCAAAAACGUAGACAGUGGAACCGAACGGACGGCAAGGGCGAGAAACCUCGAGGAUGGGACUGGGUGGACAUAGUAAAACAUUUAUCACAGACUGGCCCUAAACAAGAACAAGAGUCUUAGUUCAGCUGCUUUGAGAUAUUUGUACAGGUUAAAGAUCAUUUUAUCUCAUCGCCAACAGAUAGUUACAAGAUAUGCAAAUAAAAUUAUUCGAAUUAUAAAAUUUUAUCGAUGAUAAAUAAUACCGAGGAAGGAGCAACAAUAUUUGAAUGUUUAAUGCUUUUCGAUUUUACCGUAUUUUUCUGAUUUUUAUAAAAAUCUCCAGCCUGCUACAGGUUGUACACACCUGAUGUUGAGUAACAGCUGCUCUUGUAGCUCCACCAGCAACACCUACAAUCGAUUUCAUUGCUGUGGAAACGCACAAUAUUGCAAGCGAAUAAGAAGA